UACGAAGGGGGCUAGCGUUGCUCGGAAUCACUGGGCGUAAAGGGUGCGUAGGCGGGUCUUUUAAGUCAGGGGUGAAAUCCUGGGAGCUCAACUCCAGAACUGCCUUUGAUACUGAGGAUCUUGAGUUCGGGAGAGGUGAGUGGAACUGCGAGUGUAGAGGUGAAAUUCGUAGAUAUUCGCAAGAACACCAGUGGCGAAGGCGGCUCACUGGCCCGAUACUGACGCUGAGGCACGAAAGCGUGGGGAGCAACAGG
rnacentral:rRNA from 1 species